rnacentral:rRNA from 1 species
GACGAACGCUGGCGGCGUGCUUAACACAUGCAAGUCGAACGGAAAGGCCCUGCUUUUGUGGGGUGCUCGAGUGGCGAACGGGUGAGUAACACGUGAGUAACCUGCCCUUGACUUUGGGAUAACUUCAGGCAACUGGGGCUAAUACCGGAUAGGAGCUCCUGCUGCAUGGUGGGGGUUGGAAAGUUUCGGCGGUUGGGGAUGGACUCGCGGCUUAUCAGCUUGUUGGUGGGGUAGUGGCUUACCAAGGCAUUGACGGGUAGCCGGCCUGAGAGGGUGACCGGCCACAUUGGGACUGAGAUACGGCCCAGAGUCCUACGGGAGGCAGCAGUGGGGAAUAUUGCACAAUGGGCGGAAGCCUGAUGCAGCAACGCCGCGUGCGGGAUGACGGCCUUCGGGUUGUAAACCGCUUUCGCCUGUGACGAAGCGUGAGUGACGGUAAUGGGUAAAGAAGCACCGGCUAACUACGUG